UACGUAGGGGCCUAGCGUUGUCCGGAUUUAUUGGGCGUAAAGAGCUCGUAGGCGGUUCGGCAAGUCGGAUGUGAAAUCUCCACGCUUAACGUGGAGGGGCCAUUCGAAACUGCCGUGACUCGAGUCCGGUAGGGGAGUGUGGAAUUCCUGGUGUAGCGGUGAAAUGCGCAGAUAUCAGGAGGAACACCAAUUGCGAAGGCAGCUCGCUGGGACGUUACUGACGCUGAGACGCGAAAGCGUGGGGAGCAAACAGG
rnacentral:rRNA from 1 species